rnacentral:tRNA from 1 species
GGCCUCGUGGCGGAGUGGUUACGCAGCGGUCUGCAAAACCGCGUACGCCGGUUCAAUUCCGGCCGAGGCCUCCA